AUGUACCCCUCGUACACUGCGGUUCUGAGCGCGCUGUCCGCGCCCACCUGACAGCUCUCGAGCC
rnacentral:sRNA from 1 species